UACGUAGGGGGCUAGCGUUGUCCGGAAUCAUUGGGCGUAAAGCGCGCGUAGGCGGCCCGGUAAGUCCGCUGUGAAAGUCGGGGGCUCAACCCUCGAAUGCCGGUGGAUACUGUCGGGCUAGAGUGCGGGAGAGGCGAGUGGAAUUCCUGGUGUAGCGGUGAAAUGCGCAGAUAUCAGGAGGAACACCAAUUGCGAAGGCAGCUCGCUGGAACGUAACUGACGCUGAGACGCGAAAGCGUGGGGAGCAAACAGG
rnacentral:rRNA from 1 species